rnacentral:rRNA from 1 species
AUUGAACGCUGGCGGCAUGCCUAACACAUGCAAGUCGAACGGUAACACGUUAAGCUCUUGCGCUGCCGUCGGGCGAGUGAUAGACGGGUAAGUACUCCAUCGUAAUCUACAUCUUCGUGAAUGCUAACGUAAUGAAACUUACGCUAAUACGGCAUACGACGUGCAUGUCAAAUCAUGUGAUUUUUGGACCUUCCGAUAUUUGAUGAGCCGAUGUCUGAUUAGCUAGUUGGCGGGGUAAAGGCCCACCAAGGCGACGAUCUGUAGCUGGUCUGAGAGGACGACCAGCCACACUGGGACUGAGACACGGCCCAGACUCCUACGGGAGGCAGCAGUGGGGAAUUUUGGACAAUGGGCGCAAGCCUGAUCCAGCCAUGCCGCGUGCGGGAAGAAGGCCUUCGGGUUGUAAAGCGCUUUUGUCGGGGAAGAAAUCCUUUGGGUUAAUACCUCGGGGGGAUGACGGUACCUGAAGAAUAAGCACCGGCUAACUACGUG